GCCCCUCUCUGCUCUCUCUGUCCUACAGCCACAUCACAGCUCCCUGGGGUAUCAACUGGGGGGUCAAAACAAGCUUUCUGUUGCCCUAAGAGGGGGUGUUUGGUGUUGGUUACACCACAGCGGAUACCACCAUCCUUCCUCCUAAACCCCCUGACUGGAACAGGGGGCAGGAGUCACAUUUUCAAGGCUUCUCUCCCCAACAUGCUUCCCCGCUUCAUUUCAGCAAAUCCCACCCAUGGAACACAAAUCACAGCGUUCAGCUCCAUAAGGAAAAGCAAAUCCCCGAAUGACUGACACGGGGACAAAUGUGGCGCGAUGUCAAUCCGGAGCAGAAACAAGGCUUUGGCCCCGAGCAGGGCUGCUCAGGACCCGCUCCCAGCGUUGCAUCAGCCGCCCGGCUCUGCGGCAAAGCUGCGGCCAGCGCUGCUCGGCACCGGGCUCCGCGUGGCUUGGGCCGUGAAUUAUGCGUGUCCACGGAGUGCCAUCUAGUGGGGUUUCAUUUUAUUAGCCACAUUUCCCUAAAGCUGUAUUUCCUUAUAAAAAAUGUGGCGUUGUGCAUAGGUUUGAUGCAUGCUCAAGAGGAGAAAACUAAUUAAUGCAAAUUUUUCCUAUCACGCACUGUCCCAGCAGCUCCUUUCCAAUUGUGUUUUUGCAUCUUCCUUCCUUGCAUAAUGUCUGCAUUCGUCUGGCACACUCUCAAUCUUGAUUUGAGUGGAAACUCCACAAGGAAAACGUUGCAUGUUUUCACUUGCAUUUAAAGGGCCCCGUAAGUCAGCGGAACUGCAGGGUGGGGAGGUGGUGUGAGAUGUGGAUCCUCUUGUGAGAGACCCGACAGAAAUGAUUUUAAAAACAUAUAGUAGAAUAACUUAAUUAUUCUGCCUACUCUAGAACUGUGGUGGAUGGCUGAUAUAUUCCUGCUAUUGAAAGAGGUAAGACUUGGCAAAAGAGGUGCUUCUCCUUCCACCCUCUCUUUGUGCUGAAGGCUGAAGUUUUGAAAACCAGGAAAGAACAAUAAGUUUAUCAAAAUCUAUAAUCAAAAAUUGGUCCUAAAUUUGUACUUUCUUUAAAAUGAAGUUAUAAAGCUGGGGCUGCCAGAGCGAUGCUAUGUCCGUUACCUUUUGCGGGUCCAGUGAGGUUCGCUAUCAGAGUGCCAGUCCUAGAAAACAUUAAUCAUAUUUUACUCAUCCCUUACUCAAAUCACCACCCACAAAUGAUUUCUCUGAGGAAGAGCUGAGUAAAGCCCUGAGAAGCUGAUAACGUAAAACAGUAGAUACGUAGCUAUCUCCCUAGCUUUAUUUGCACACUCGUCAUCAGGAUAUCCAAACAAAGCCUGGAUGUGCACCACCACUGUGCCCAGGGAUGGGUGGCAGCAUCAGACCCAGGUAGCCCAUGGUGUAGCUGGGCAGUGCUUUGGAGGGUGGAUCCGGGUCACCAUGAGUUGUCUCCUCCAUGGCAUUUCUCUGUUCUGUGUCCUACCCAGAUUGGCCCCAUGCAAGGGAGGGAGAGAAAAGCUUCAUUGAAUCUCAAACCCAGUUGGAGGUUUGGAUUCCCAAGUGGGAUCAUUGGGCUUGGAAACAUUUAGCUUGGCUCCGGACUUUUGGCUGCCAUCGGGUUCUCUCUUCUGCUGUAAUUCAUCCUCAGAUAGUCCUGAUGCCCGGGGGAGUCUUGCUGUGAAACGGUUCCGUGUUUAUUCACGGGAUCAGCCUGUCACUCUGCUCAGGCCAUUCCUGCUCAUGUUUCUCUUGUAGGGGGAGAAAAGAACAGUUGUUUAAUUUAUUCCAAGUGAGCUCCCGUUUUCAGUGAUGCUGAUGAUAACGAUGCCAUGCAGAUAGGGGGGAACAGCCACAUACUGCAGGUCUGCACCACCAACCUACCACCACCGCUGCUUUGGGGCAGCCAGCAGCGUCCUGAAAGGUCAUCACCUGAAAUCAUCCUGCCUAUUCUGAAAAUUAUACUCAGGAGCAAUGGGGCAGUGGGAUGCCACAAUCAAAGGGAAAAGAUCCUGACUGCUGAGGUUGAUUUGGGGAUUAAGGACUUCAUGGUGCACUCCAUCCAUGGUGGGCCCACAGCAGUUGUCAUGGUCCACUGUCAUGUCUUCAGGAGAGCUGGGCUUGCGAGUGGGGUUUGAAUUUGAGGCUGGCUCAGGCUGUUGGGCACAUGCCAUGAUCUGACACAGUAUUUAUCUAAAACAUAUUCCAACUUGGACCAGUCUGUUCUCAAGAGGCCUUGGCCACAGCCAACAUGGAAGCAGUGAAGGGACCCAUUUGGGAAUUUGGCCCAAACAGAGUCAAAGCUGUUGGUGGCGAUCCAAGAAUUUCUGUUGAUGCUGCCAACACACACACACCCUCAGCGCUCGAAGGGGCUCGGUGUUGGCCCAGUGCACAAAAUCUUGCCCUGGGGGCCUGCUAAUGUUGUGAACUGUUGGCAAGUUCAGCACCCGGCACCAGCGUUUAGAAGGGAACAUGGCGGAGGGGCCCUGCUUGGUACCAGCAUCCAGCAUCUGCUCCUUUGAGGGGACCUUGUACACAGUAGAGCAUCCAGCUGGGACCUGCAGGGACACUGUGGGCUUUGCCUACAUGCCAGUGGUGGCAUCCAACCUUCCUUCACCAACUGGUUGGCGAAAACUGCUCCCAGACCUCCAGAGAAUGAAAUCGCCAGAGGUGGGUAAUUAACAUCCAUAGCCCUUUUACACCAGCAUCCUUGGGAGUGCAAAUGAGCAUUGCAAACAGGGUGUGCAACAGGGACCUGGUGCUCUCAACUCAGCACUAGGUUCUGCAGCCAUUUUGCAUUGCCACAGACAACCCAGAGAAGAAUGAGCCUUGUAGGGGUUGUGUCUCCUGGUGGUGUCUCCUAAUUGAGGCAGGGAUGAGGGAGGGCCAUGAAUCACUAUCUCUAAUUAACUUUCUUGAUUGCUCACUGGUGUGAAGCUCCAGCUGCUGCUGCACUUGCUGCCCCUCAAAAAGAGCUUGAAGAAAGGACCUUCACUCAAUGGCUGCACUUUGAAUGAGUAAAGCAGCUCAGAAGGAAGAUAGACAUUGCUCACCUGUCCCGAGUGGACAUGUUUAUACUGGGUUAGUAAAAACAGGCUCUGUGCACAGGAUAUUUUUCUCCAGUCUCCCCUGAGAGAGCUGGGGUCUGGUGAGUUUAAUGUUGCUAUUUGAACAACCUUUGCCAUGUUGAUUCUGGUGCCAGUCCAGAAUGCAGAGAAAUUAAAAAGAACAGGAAAAACAACCAAACUUCUGAAAAUCCUCUGAUUGAUUGUUUUUUCCUGGAUGGGGGCACAGGAAGAAGUUCCACUGCUGUCCUCCAGUGCAAUUUUUCUAGUCUACUGCUGCUUCUCUGCUUGCACAUGAACCACUGCUGGGCCAGACAGAGGGGGAAGCAGCUCAGGAACUGCGUGGCUUUCCCUGAAGGAUUGCCUGGAGCUCUGCUCCGUGUCCCGAGGCUGAGAUACCCUGGGCUGCCAAAGCUCCAGGUGGCUCCUAACUGGAGACUGGAGCCUGUACCUCCGGCACGUUGAAGCCAUGCGGCAUUGCAGCCUCUUUUAGCCUUACAUCACCGCGACAGAGCAAGCAAACAAAAUGCAUGUAAUCGAGAGAGGAGAACGUGACAGGAGCGAUAACUCACAUGCCACUCUGCUUGCUCACCCGGAGUAAGCUGGGCAGAAGCUAUAUAUAGAAGCGAGAUUGCUAAUAACUGGCACGGGAAAGCCUUCAAGCAUCUCCAUUCAAUUCAUUUACACCUCCCACAAAGAAGACAAAGAAAGGCUGUUUGAAGGACUGCCAGCCUGCUGCCAUCUGAGUCAGUCACUCUCAGCCACAGCUCCAGCGCAGCCUCCGCUACCCCAUGUCGUGCACGUCAAGGGCCGGAUUCACAGCUCGGUUACCUCCAGGUGAACUGCUGAACCAAGGUCAUGCUGGUGAUGCUGUAAUCAGCAUCUGGCCUCUCCAUUCCUCCAGCCAUUAGCAAGACCCUCAAAUCCUCCGGCUCAGACAGAAGUUGGCAUGGGAGAAGAUAAUUUACCUUUGAUUUUGGAGCUCCCUUUGCUGGUCAGACUUCAGUUGGUAAAGGUGGCCGGCGGCGAGGUAACCCCAGCAACAAGCUGUGCUGUAACUAAAUGCUGAAAGGUUUAUCUGAUGUCAAAAAAUGUGGUGUGUCUUAAGCAUCUGUCUGUCCUGACAGCACUGCUGCAGCUGCUGCCUCGCAGGGCAGUAAGGAGGCGAAUGUGAGUAAUCUCCUGGUCCUGUGCCUAAUGGGAAGGCAAUUAAAAUUGGAGCUGUAAUCAGUGCUGGCUACACAUGUCCUGGUGAUUUUGGACAAGUGACAUAGAACCUGAAAUGGAAAGUUACUUGGAUCUGUACACAAUUUGCCUAAUUUAUGUGUCCAAUUCAAGUGCUAUGGAAAUUUUGCAUGUAUUGCCUCAGGGAGGGUCAAAAGUGACAGAUGUCCUAGAGUAAAUGUGUCGGUCAGAGCAGAGGCCAUUGUCUUGGAGAAUCUGUAGAAAAUGAGCCAAAAAGCCUAAUUUUGGUGUUCCUCUCUGUGGACAGUGUGUUGCCUAAGUGGUGUCAGAAGUGUCCACCUCCCCACCGAGAAUACUAGGAUGCUACUGGGAAUGCCAGUUGUCUUCAGCAGCUGGGAGCCAGCAGUGCUCCUGUUUGGAGGUGGUUGGGCAGCAGGGUGGGUCGUGGCCACCUCCUACCUCAUCACCUCUCCAGUCACACACUUGGGGCAAAUAGACCCGCUGGUGCUCCCUUCUACCUGCAGGUGCUUCAGGAGGAGUUUACUGCCCAUUUGUGUAGAUCUGGACCGUUACUUGUCAUGCCUUUGCUCCUCAGCUAUGAAAUGAAGGUGUUGGGCCUUCAUGGAUAUGUGAAGAUAGAUGCACCACUGGCCCUCAGACACACUGGUGCUGCAGGAGUGCUCUAGACAGGUCAGCUAUGCUCUUCCCAUAUGGUAAGUCUUGUUAGUGUCGGUGGUGUGGCUUUCAUUUUGUGAAUCAACACCAUGUGUGAGGGAGAGCUGUGCUUGCUACACUGGGCGUAUGGCUGAUGCCGUUAAGAUCUCCUUGAAUCUGUGAUGGUUAAUCUCCUCCAAACAGAGCUCUUUUUUUUUUUAUUUCCAACUCCUACAUGGAAAGACAAGGCAAGAUAAUGCAGCCCAACCGCAAGACAAGUCUGGUUUAACCUCCUGGAAGGCAGCUGCCCAGGCUGGCUGGCAUCGAGGACGUGGGUGCAGCGCUGUGUGCGUAGGAGGCUGAAGACUCUUCUGCCCUACUGCUUUCCCCAGUGGCCCAUGGCUCCAUGUCACCCCGAAGGACACUCUGGCUUCACCUGUGGAUGCCAAGGGAUGACAAGUCAACCCUUCUCUGCAACGCUGUUCCAGGGAUGAACUGCGCUCCCUCUAAAAGCCCUGUACCUUGUUUACAGACACGGCCAGAGCUUCUCUGAGGUGCUGAUUUAGGGAAUGGUUACGGUGCCAGCCCAUGUGCAGGUGAGAGGAGAUGCCGACGGUGAUCGAUUGAGGUGAUGAGGGCAAUGCUGGAGAGAAGGAAGUGUUGACAGCGACAAAACUGAAAUCUGUCCAGAGCCUAACAAAGGUGUGAGGCUGGAGCCACUCCAAGGAGCCAUGGGAGAGGCCACUGGGUUGAACGUUGUUUUCUCUGACCCUUUGCCAAUACUUUUCCCAGAUCGUGACAGAUGAUUGGAGUUUUUAGCUGCAGCAUGCACCUUUUCCCUCCUGCCGGAUCCCUCGCACUUCCACGCGCGACUGACCGGGUUGAGGAGAGCAAUGUGCUGAUCUGAUCGGUAUCUUGGCGAGGCGGCUUGCUUGAUGAACAAAGUGUGACCACAUUCCAGGGCACCACGACUGUCCCAACAGCAGGCUGCAGGUAGGAGCAAAGAAAACAUUGGACAUGCAUUUAUGAGACUCCCAGUGGGCUUCUGCCUCCUUUGAAUGUCCCCUGGGGACUGAUAUUUAUCUCCUGAGAUUCCUUCAGCCAUAGCCACUCUUCUGAGCUUCUCGUGACCCCAGGCAUUAAUGAGGCUUGGACCCAAGCGGGUCCCAUUUAUGAGCCUCCAAAGAAUUCUCCCCUACACUAAUUCAAUGAGCUGAAGAAAAGUGGUGUCUAAGACAGCAACGGCUGAUUCAUGUCCCACAGUUUGCAUUCCAAUGGCUCGGGAAGCCCCCGCACGGUGUCCAUGUGAGACAGGAAUACCUGCAGGGAAAGGCUUUCACCUUGCAGCGAUUGUUGGAAGAUGGAGAUCUGACAUGUCCAGAGAGCUCGAUUGUGCUAUGGCAAGAGGACAAGCCCAGAAAUGCUCUCCUCGCCAGCCUGGAGAGUUGUCAGGUCACUUGACCUUUGGCGAUGGGAUGGGAGACUCCAUGUGCAACGCAGCUGCCUGGCUGAGGAAGCAGGGGGCGACUCCACCGUGUAAGGACCCCCAGGGAGGUGACGGCGCAGACCAGCCCGUUUCCCUACGGCCAGCAGACCUCUUGGGAGUGAUGCACAGCCCAUCUGCCUGCGGCUCUGCACCUCAACAGCCUGUUCGCAAAAUCCCUCCUCCAGAGCCAGCCUCCAUCCUCCUCCGAGCACGACAGGGGUGCUGAGCAUCCCAGCAGAGCCCUUCGCGGGCUUCGCCUCCUCGCCGGGACCCCGUGAGCCGUGUUCAGUCAGCGCAGGGGGAAUCCACGCUGCCGCAGGGUAGCGGGUUAGAGAAGCUGAAGUCCUUCUUCUUACACCUGAUUCUGAUGACUAGAUCCAGAAGACAGUGUUCUAAACCCAUGGUGACACUGGACUUAACAAGACAGCUCUCUGCUCAGACUGGGUCUUUGUGUCCUGACUCCUCCUUGAGUGCGGCAGCACUUUGCAGAUCUACCACAUCCAAUCGGCUCAGCCAGAAGUGGACAGUGGAUGAAUGGCGGUGAGCGGCAGGUUUGGAC